AGGCGGCCGGCGAGGUGCUGCAUGGUUGUCGUCAGCUCGUGCCGUGAGGUGUCGGGUUAAGUCCCAUAACGAGCGCAACCCCUACCGUUAGUUGCCAGCGGGUCAAGCCGGGAAACUCUAACGGAACUGCCAGCGUAAGCUGUGAGGAAGGCGGGGAUGACGUCAAAUCAGCACGGCCCUUACGUCCAGGGCUACACACGUGUUACAAUGGCCGGUACAGAGGGCAGCCACCCGCGAGGGGGCGCGAAUCCCGAAAGCCGGUCGCAGUUCGGAUCGGAGUCUGGAACCCGACUCCGUGAAGCUGGAUUCGCUAGUAAUCGCGCAUCAGCCAUGGCGCGGUGAAUACGUUCCCGGGCCUU
rnacentral:rRNA from 1 species